GCGCCGCGCCGGGAGCCGGCCCUCCGAGCUCGGGGCUCCCGCUACCUCGGACGGCCUGCACAUCCACCGGCCGGCUGUGCGGGUGACACUCCGCGCACAGCCCCCGGGCGGGCCGCCGCCCCGGGAACAAAGACCCCCGGGCCGCGGGAGCCGAGGAAAGGCUCCCGGAGGCCGGCCGACGGGCGUUCCUCCGCCCUCGUCCCGAGGGAGCGGGUGCGAGGGCGCCAAGGCCGCCAGCCGCGCGGGCCGGCCCUUCCCGAGAUGCACCUGGAGGCGGCCCCCGCGCCGACCUUGUGGGCCGCGCUGCUCGGGAGCCCUCCGAGCCCGGGAGGGACCUCCGCCUUUCUCCCGCACCGGCCCCUUGCUUGGCAUGCUCUUUCCGAUUCUUAGGGUGGUCUCCGACCCCGGCAGAAGCUCACUUUCCCGGAUUUACACGUAGGCGACAGAAUCAGAGAAAGUCCUAGGCCUAAGAAAGCUCAAACAACCAGGAAUGCUCAUCAUGGCUCCAGAGAGGGCGGGAGCUGCCUCCUUUUAUGGUUGCUGUCAUCUUGUACAGCUUAGAGACCUGACCUGUGAGGGCAAGAAAGCAGAGGGGUGCGAGUGAAUGUCUUCGAAUAAACGUGUGUUAAAUGAGUAUAAGCAGAGCGGAUGGCCUACAGCCUCGGCUCUGUAGUGAGUUCAAGACCAACCUAAGUUAUAUGAGACACUGCCCUAAAAAACCAAACUGGUGGCCAGUGUGGGUGAACUUGAUCAAGAUAUACUGAAGGGGAGGGAUGUUGUUAACACGGGGUUGCCUUUGAGUAUCACAUGCCAAGCCAAAUAAAUUAAUGCAAAUAAGUCAUUAGAAAUGUACUGCGGUUGUGUCAUUAAUUAGUAUGUGAGCAGAGUAGCUGUAGUGAAAGCAAAAUUACGAUGAUUCUCUUGAGCAUACACCCAAAGGAACUGAGUCAACAUAAAACAAAGGUACCAAGCUGGGCAGUGGUGGCACUCGCUUUUAAUCCCAGCACUCAGGAGGCAGAGGCAGGCGGAUCUCUGUGAGUUCGAGGCCAGCCUGGACUACAUAGUGUGUUCCAAGACAGCCAAGACUACACAGAGAAACUGUCUCGAAAAACCAAAUAAAUAAGUAAAAUAAAGGUAUCUACAAGUGUUUAUUAUGACAUCGAUAUUUACAAUACCUAAGUUACAGAAUCAUCUUAGGCGACUGUCCACAUGAAUGGAUAAAGAAAAUGUGCUAGAUUUACAUAAUCGUGUAUUAUUCAGUCAUAAAGAACAAAGUUAUAUUUGCAAGAAAAUUGAUGGAACUGGGACAUAAAAGGGAGGUAAGAUUCAGAAAGGCAAGUAUGACAUGUUUUCUCAUGCAAAACCUAGAUUAAAAUUAAAGACAACAGGAAUAGCUUAGUGGUAGAGCCCUUACCUAUCAUGAGUUUGAUCCUCACCACAUGUUGGGGGGGGGCAUGAAAUAGAAAGGGGCCUGUCUAUAAAGAGAAACUGAAAAGAAUGGAUAAUGGGAGAUUAAUAUGAUCAAGGUUUUAUGCAGGCAUAUAAUGUCUUGGUGAAACCUUUCUGAAGAGCUGAUGUGUACUGAUGAAAAAGAUUAAAUUUGGUUAUGUACAGAGACUCCUUCCAUAUCAGCCAAUCACAGAAUUGAUGACCAAUAAAUGCAAGCCAUUCUGGCUCUUAUAUACCCCUCCUCCUUACCAGAAGUUAAAAAACUGUUCUAGCCCUCUGUCAGGGUGGCAGGCAAAGGCCUUUAAUCCUAGCAAUUGGAAGGCAGAGGCAGGUGGAGCUCUGAGUGAGAGAGAGCUCAGUCUGGUCUGCAGGGCAAGUUCUAUACUUGCUGGGUAUUUCCUUAAGCAUCAUCUUAAGUGUGUCAUCUUUCAUAUUUUAAAGUUCAUUUUUGGUGUCUUUCCCCAGUCAUUCUAGUUUAGCAUUUACCUGCUUUAAAAUGUAUAAAAUUCUGACAGGCAUGGUGACCCACACCUUCAGUCUGAGCAGAGCAGGAGGAUCUCUGAUUCCAAGUUGGGCUGUGGUGGCACUCAGGAUCCUACCACUCGGGAGGCAGAGGCAGGCAGAUCUCUGAGUUCAAGGCCAGCCUGGUCUACAGAGUGAAUUCCAGGACAGCCAGGGUUAUGUAGAAAGAGUAUAAAAUUCCUUUAUACAUUUAGAAAAUUUGGCAUUUUCUGAAGAACUUAUUGUACAUGCCCUAAAAUCUGUGGCUAAUAAACUGUUAACCUCUACAACAUUUCUUGGUGUAAUUCAUUUUCAUGAAGGAAAAAAACAAAACAAAACUACAAAGGUUCUUGAAGGCACAGGUCUCUUUAUUUUCCAGUAAGCCAGGUUCAGGGUUUAUACCUGUUGUUCUGAUUACUGAUAAACGGAGGCAUGGUUGUUUGAGCCCAGGCUCCCAGGCUAAUCUGGGCAGGAUAAUAAAACCCUGUUUCUUUGAAAUAAAGUUAGACCCAGCCAACAUACUUCUAUUCCUGGGUGUUUGCCGUGCCUUCUGUGUGCAGACCUCCCAGAUCUUUGUUUCUGUACUCUGUAGUUCUGGCCUCUAAACAAGACAACAGUUACUGACUUAAGCCCUGAACCUAGAGCCUCCUGUAUAAAUACCACCUUUUUACUUUUUGAGAUAGGGUCUCAAUAAGUUGCCUGGGCUGGCCUUGAGUUUGCAACGCUCCUGCCUCAGCGUCUGACACAGCAGGGAUUAUGGGCCUGCACCACCCGGCCUACCUUUGUUCAUCUUUUUAUACUUAGUUAACCCAGUGGUUCGGAGACAUAUGCAGUAGGACCUUGGUAAUGUUAAUUUGAUAGAUGAUGGGUAGGAGAAUUAACUAAACUGCUUUUGUCAAGGCUGUAAGACAAGAGCUCACUGUAGCCCUGGCUGGUCUGAACUUGUUAUGUAGAUCAGGAUGCCUUUAAACUCAUAGAGAUCCGCCUGUCUCUGCUCACCCACCCCCAACUCUUUUAUAUUCUUUCUGUAGUUUUGUUGUUGUUGUUGUUUUAAUAGUUGUAAGCUUACAGAAAAACAGAGCAGGUAGAAUCCCUGCUUGCUUCACACACAUUCCAGUAUAUUAUACUCCAGUGUCACACGUUUGUUAUCAUGAUAUAUUUGUCAUUAAUAAGUCAGUGUUGAUGUGUUGUUAUUAUUAGCUAGCUAAAGUAUUAUUCAGAUUUCCUUUGUUUCUACCUAAUGCUUGUUUGGUUUCUUUGUCUUUGAAACAGGUUCCCAUGAAUCUCAGGAUCGCCUUGAAUUCUUUUUGUAGUUGAGGAUAGCUUUGAACUUAAUGACGCCAGUGCUGGCAUCACAGGAUCAUCAGUGUCUUGUCCUCUAAAGGCAGAGCUGUUCCUGACAUCUGGGGUGACAAAAGCCUGGCCUUUUGAUAGGCUCUGUGGACUUGCCCUAAGAGUCAAGGCAGAGAGUAACUCCAGUGCCUGGGAGAUGGAGGCAGGAGGAUCAGGAAUUUAAGAUCAUCCUUGGCUACAAGGUAAGUUCUAAGCCAACUUGGGCUCCAAGUUCCUGCCUAAAAGAAAAAACAGAAAAAGGCAGACAAGAAGGCAGGCCUAGUGAGACAAGAGCUAAAGCACAGUCCAGGGACAGUGGCUGUGCUUCCUCAGCUCCUCAACACUCCGUGGUGAGAUGCGCAGCCUGGUAAGUGGAUAUUGUGAAUCCAGAUGCUGCAGGUAGACGCCCACAUGGACAGGGUGCCAGCUUUCUGCAAGAGACAUGGCACUCACCAGUAAGUUAUCUCAGGGUUAGUGAGAUGGCUCAAUAGAAUAGGUAAAGGCUCCUCCUAGAAAUCUGACCUGAGUUCAGCCCUCAGGUGUAACAUGAAUUGCUAAACCGUCUUAUUAAUAAAAAAGCCGGGGCCAGAUAUUGGGGUGAAAGCUGAACAAUCAGAGAAACAGAACAAGCCGCAGCCAACCUCACCUCGCCAACUCCUCAUCUGAUCCUGUUUCCACGAAUCCUCAGACUGAAAGCUUCUGAGUCCUCACCCGAAUGGAUCUCAGCUGAACUGCUGCUAUAAGCUUAAAAGCCUCAAGUUCCUGGUUCUCACACCUUAUAUACCGUUCUGCUUCUUGCCAUCACUUCCUGGGAUUAAAGGCAUGCAUUUUUCCCAAGCAAGACAUGAGAUCUCAAGUCCUGGGAUUAAAGACAUGUGCCACCAUGUCUAGCUCUGUUUCCAGUGUGACCUUGAACUCAUAGGGAUCCGGAUGGAUCUUUGACUCCGGAAUGCUAGGAUUAAAGGCAAAGGCGUGUGCCAUCUCUGUCUGGACUCUAUGACUAAUCUAGUGGCUGUUCUGUUCUCUGACCCCAGGUAAGUUUUAUUAGGGUACACAGUAUAUUGGCGUACACAAUAGAUCAGCACGCAGGAACCAGCUCCCGCAAGUUGUUCUCUGAUAGACAUAUGUAUGCACACACAAAUAAUUUGCUAAAGAAUAAAUGAUCUCUGGGAAGGUGACAGAAUAAGUAGGUAUCUAUCGCCAAGCACUAAGGAAAAAAUUAACAAUGCUUCUCAGAGUGGAGUGACCUGGGAAGGAAGCAGAAAUGUUUCAUUCUUGAAUUCAUUACUACUACCGAUGCUAGUAUAUCGUUUUUGACUGCUUGGAACACAGUUCUGGUCAGGAAAGGGUAAGCAACAGAAAAAGACAAAUACAUGUCUGGUGGUCGUGACCGAGAAGGAAAGGAAAGACAGGGUGAGGGACGUGCUGUGUUGGAUGUUCAGUGAAGGUGUCUGUUGUAACGUAAGCAGAGACCUGUGACCAAGUCAUCCAUGAAGUGAGGAGGACUAUUCAGGUAGAGAAGUGACAAGCCAAAGGACCUUGGCAUAUUUAAACGGAGAGCAAUGAUGUGGUGGAAGUGGGCAGAGGAAAUGCAGUAGGGAGAUUGAUAAGGAUCUGCACUGUUUGAAGCAGCCCCAGGGAUGAGUAGUAGAGCACAGUGGGUGCUAGUUGGGAGACUGGUCCAGUGGAGCGAGGGUCACUGGGAAAUGGUGACGUGCCCAGUCCAGUAUAUGUGUCACAGGUAGGGCUGAACAGCUGUCCUGAGAAGUCGACCCCAGAGAGAGGUGUCAACGGCUAGUCAGGUGAGUAGCUUGUCUCUUGCUUGGAGGAGGAGCUAUAGACAUGAUGAAAUCAAGAGUUUGUUUAGGACAACUUAAUUGUUGAAAAGCUUCGUUUGCAUUUUAUUACAGAAAGUUUAAAGUGAUUAGCAGAGGUGAAAGGAUUUUAUAAUGAAUACCCAUGUACCCACAACCAGAAUUCAUCAUUGCCAUUUCUCUGUGUUUACUUUAUAAUCGAAAUUUCCAUCUGUUCCAUCUAUUUGGGGAAACAUUUCCAAAAAUAAAUUAAAAGAUUGUACACUUACCUCUAAAUAUUUCAGUAUGUAUAAUAUUGGGAGUUCAAUAUUUUGAUUAGCUUUUCUUUUGAGGUAAAGUUUAAUAUCAAUAUAAAGUAUAAAUUUUUCAGUGCUGGGGAUUGUUUGGACAUGCUAAUAAGUAUCUACCAUUGUGCUGUACCUUCAUUCUAAAAAAUAUAAAAAGUAUAUAAAGCUUUUUGAGACAGGGUCUCAUGUAGUUCAGGAUGAUCUCAAACUCAAUGUAGCCAAGGAUGACCUUGAACUGAUACUCCUGCUUUUACAUCCCUACUGCUGGAAUUACAGAUGUGUAUCACCCUAUCUGAUUUUUUAUUUAAUUUUGUUUAUUUAUUUGUUUGUUUAUGAGGCAGGGUUUCUCUGUGUAACCUAAAUAUUCUGGAACUCCCUCUGUAGAACAUGCUGGCCUCCAAUUUAGAUCAGCCUGCUUCCACCCCCAAGAGCUGGGAUUAAAGUGUGUGUCACCAUGCCUGGCUUAAGCAUGCCCAGUUUUAAGCGUGUGUGUGUGUGUGUGUGUGUGUGUGUGUGUGUGUGUGUACACGUGCGUGUGUGCGUGCAUGCGUGCGUGCAUGCGUGCGUGCAUUCGUGUUUACAUUUGUAUAGAGGCAGUCAACUUUGGGUGUCUUUCUCAGUUGCUUUCCACCUUCCCCCCCCCCAUUUUAUUAACAUUUAUUAAUUUUACAAAAUAAUGGGUUUCAUUAUGACAUUUCAUGCGUGUAUACUUGUACUUUUUUCAGUUAUACAGCAUCACCAGUACCCCAGAAAGUUUCUUUUCCGUAUUAAUCCCUGCUUCCCUUCCCUAGAGGCAUCUGUAAUUCUGUUUUUUCCAUCCCAGAUUGGUGUCACCAACACUAGAGCUGUAUGAGUGGAGACCUACACCUGUCUUUGAGUAACGGUUCUUCUGUGUAGCACAGCUGCGCCAUGCUGUUGCACAGGCGUCACUUGAUUCCUACUUUCUUUGUAUACAGUGCUCUGCCUGCAUGUAUGCUGCAGGCCAGAAGAGGGCGCCAGAUCUCAUUGCAGAUGGUUGGUUGUAGGCCACCAUGCAGUUGCUGGGAGUUCAACUCAGGACCUCUGGAAGAGCCAUCUCUCCUUAACCUUUGAGCCAUCUCUCCAGCUCCACUCUGUUCCUUCUUUUUUUUUUUUUUUAUUUCUUUUCUUUUUUCUUUUUUGAUUUUUCCAGACAGGGUUUCUCUGUGUAGCUUUGCGCCUUUCCUGGAACUCACUCUGUAGCCCAGGCUGGCCUUGAACUCACAGACAUCCGCCUGGCUCUGCCUCCCAAGUGCAGGGAUUAAAGGCGUGUGCCACCACGGCCUCCACUCUGUUCCUUCUUAUUGCUGGUUGAUGUGCUGGUGUAUGAUGCAUCAUGGCUUAGUUUUCAGUUUUUAGCUAUCAUGAAUAAAGACGGCUAUUCUUUAUUUAUAGUAAUGUUCUGUAUAUCCACAAGGAAGUCCUUUUUUGGACAUUCAGAUUCAUUUCUUUAGUCCUUAGAGUGCAAUUUGAGGAUCAUAGUGUAGGCAAUAAGUUUGAGUUUUAGGGUGUAAAAAAAAAGGAACUGUCAUACCUUUUUCAUAAAGGUCCACCAACAAAAGAAUGUAUGAAAACAUUGUGAUGUAGUUAAAAUGGAGCAAAGCCAGAAGAAGUACAGAUAGAGAUCAGUUUCAGAGACUGCUCAAUGUGAUAGCCAAAGUCUCUAGUCCUAGCACGUGGUAAACCAAAACAAAAGAACUACAAGUUCAAGGCCAGCUUGGGCUAUGUGAGACUCCGUCUCAGAAAGCCAAGAAGGGGCUGGAGAGAUGGCUCAGUAGUUAUAACACUGACUGCUCUUCCAGAGGACCCUGGGUUGAUUCCCAUGUUAGUUCAGUUCCAGGGGAUCUGACAACUUCUUCUGACCUCCAGGGCCAGGGCCAGGGCCAGGCAUGAAAUGGUACACAGACACACAUGCGAGUAAGACACCCAUGCAUAAAGAAGACUAUACAUUGAAACAUUCAGUGUGGUUGCGUUUAUAUAAAAUUAGAAAGCAUGUGAGACACAAACGUUACACACUGUCGUAACUACAUACUUACGAGGUAACAACAUGUUUGCAAAAGUCUUUAAUGUCAAGACAGUGGAUAGGAGGGGCUCAUAAUAGUCUCCAACUAAAUGAGUAAAGUGGCAUUUCCUUAAAGGCAUUAGAAGCAAUUUUAGUAAAAUGUCAAGAUUUGAUACUGAUGAAUGCAUAUUCCACCACAGGUGUUAAGCUCUGAGCUUUGUGGAUUUCUGUUUGCUGACUUAGCUCCCAAAGAUCUUCUGAACUGUUUAUUUACCACUUUAGCUGUAUCCUGCCCCUAGGGGUGACUGAAGCUGGGUGGGACUAGGAGGUGGGGCACAGCCCUGUCCUCUCUAGGCCACCCUUGCAUGAACAGCUCCUUGGGGGCUGGGACAGAGUACCUCUGACCUGCUCCUAGCUACUGCCUCAAGAGAGCCUGCAGGCAGGCCUGCCUUCCCUUUGUCCCUGAAUCUUGGACUGACCUGGUGCUGGGUGAAUUUGAGGCACAUGUUAAAAUAUUUGUUCCCUUCCAUUGUUUUGGGUCUUUUUCUUUGGUGACUCAGCAUUGUAUUUAUGUGUUUUCAAUCUGCCCAUCUUCUCUGUCAUUGCCUAUCUAUUAGUUUUAAAAUUUCCCCAUUCUUCCCCUUUCUUAUUUCAUCUUUCACAGAGGGUCCUUAAAAUGCUACCACAUGUCCCUGGGGGUUUUGUUUUUUAAUUGGUUUUUCAGCUCUGAAGUGUGUGUGUGUGUGUGUGUGUGUGUGUGUGUGUGUGUGUGUGUGUGUUUUCCCUUUUCCUUUCUGAGCUCCCAGUCCCUGGUUCAGAUACCGCCUAUAGCUUCUGUUCUUGGGCCAGCCCUUCCUGCUUUUUAUUACUUGUGCUGCAUCGUCUUCCUGCAUAGCCAUUGCCUCGUUACAUUUUUAGAGUUCAUAAUAGAAUACUGGUUUAAAAUCGCCUUCUUCCCAUGGUGAUGGUUUUUUCUGUUCCUUUUCAGUUUGUUUUGUGGCAGUACUUGGCACAGGCUCGUUAUGCCUUUUAUGCUGCCUUUGAUUGUAUGCUGAGUUACACCUUUGUCUUAGUUAAGGUUUCUCUUGCUGUGGAGAGACACCAUGACCACAGCAACUCUUAAUGGAAAACAUUUAAUUGAGGUGGCUGGCUUACAGUUCAGAGGUUCAGUUCAUUGUCAACAUGGUGGGACAUGGCUGUGUGCAGGCAGACAUGGUGCUGGAGAAGUUGAGAGUCCUAUAAUGGGCAGGCAACAGGAAGUGGUCUGGGAGAGUGGGUGUGGCUUCAGCAUAUUUGAGAUCUCAAAGCCUGCCCCCACAGUGACACACUUCUUCCAACAAGGCCACACCUCCUAAUAGUGCUCCUCCCUAUGAGCUUGGGGGGGGGGGGCAGUUACAUUCAAACUACCAUGACCUUUUAUCUUUUAUUUUGAGGUGCAUUAUAUUUUUUCAAACCAGCUGCCAAACAGUCCUGUCAUGGGGUGAGGGAAGUACCUUCCUUCCUCCUCUUCCUCCUAACCCACCAUCUCCAGAUAGACCAGAUGGAUUAGCCCACCUGUGACUCAGUAGUGCCACUCACUACCUUGGCAACAGUGAUCUUUCAGGGAAAGGUAGAUGUCCAGGGAGAAGCCCACUGUUGUCUGCGGUCACUGUCGUGGGAUGUUUACCUGGAGAGACAGUCCACCUGCUAAAGUUCGUGACUAGACAGAGCAGAGAGCAUCAGUGUGUAACGCCACCCAUUUUGCCAUGUAUUCCCAUACAGUAGUUGGAGUCUGUUUUGUCAUGUGCAACUGAAAGGACCCUGACAGACGCACCUCACUUGUUCUCACACAGCCCAGCCGCCCUGCCCGGCCCACUCCACUCUUUUUGUGGACACUGACUGCUUUUUUCAUUUGCCUGCAUCUCCCACUGAAAGUGCUUCACUGCUCAUGUCUGGUACCCUCGCACUGUACCUGGCCAGCACUGGGCAGGGAAAAAUUCAAUUGAGAGCCAGGUACGGUGGGGUGGUGCAUUCCUGUAAACCUUAGCAUUUGGAAGACAAAGCCAAGAAGUGUGCUGCAGUUCCAGCCAGCCUGACCAGCACACCAAGUUUCAAGCCAGCCAGGUUUACAUAGUAUGAUGGCUAUUCUUGGUUGUCAACUUGACUAUAUGUGGAAUGAACUAUAAUUCAGAAAUGGAGGGCACACGUGUGAUCCAGAUCUUGAGGCAAAAAGACAACAUACCUUUGAUCCUCUUCUUGAGGCUGGAAGGCACACCUUUAAUCCGGCCGUACCUUCUGCUGGAAGUCUGUAUAAGGACAAGGGAAGAAGGAAGGGCGUGUUCUUCCUUUGCUUGCUUGCCCUGCCUUGUCAGCACACCCAUUCCUUUACUGACAUUGGAGCCUACUUGUGGAAUAUUAAUUUAAGAUGUAUUACAUUUGUUUAUGCUGUGGAACACUUAUUUAAUGAUGCAAAAGACAUGUUACAUUUGUUUGAUUAAAUAAAAAUAACCUGGGAUCAGGAGGCUGAGUCAGUGGGAUCAGGAGGCUGAGUCAGCAACUAGCUGACAGGACAUGGUAGGGAGGAACCAUGUGUAGCCAGUCUUAACUGGGGGCUGAGCAGAAGGAUGCCCUGUUUUGGGGGUGAUGUGAGGUAGGAGUGAAGAUUAGCUACUUGCUAUUCAGCCUCUUUGAGCGAGCAGAAUUUCACCUCAACCUUUGAAUCCUGAGUUUGACCGAGGGAUAGAGAUCUCUUUAGCGGCUGUGAUAGAGCUGGUGCCUGAAGGAGAAGAAUUCCUGCCUGGCUAUAGCCAGUGCAGGCGAACCAAUACUGGUAGCUCCGGAGUUGCAAUUGCUGACUAGGACAGAAGUUGCUUAAGGGCAGCUACUGAAUUUAAUGAGAAACAACACCUACUUCUUUGGAAUUCUGGCAUAUACAGAAGACCAUGGGACUGAGCAGCUACUAGAUUCUUGGACUUCCCAUUCACAUCUAGCCAUUGUUGGACUGCAGCCUAUAAGUCAUUCUGGUAAAUUCAUAUAUAUAUAUAAAUAUGAAAAUUUAUUAUAUAUGUGUGUGUAUAUACGGAGAGAGAUAUUCAUUCCAUAAGUUCUGUGACUAGAGAACCCUGACUAAUACACAUAGGAAGGCCCUCUCUUAAACUAACUGAACAACAAAAGAACAGGGCCAGGCACAGUGGUGCAUGCCUUUAGUUCCUGCAUUUGGGAGGCAGAGACAGGCCUCUCUUGGGUUUGAGGCCAGCUUGUUCUGCAGAGUGAGUUCCCUGCCUGCCAGACAGAAUAUGUUUGUCUCAAAAAAUAAAAGAACAAAAACAGUAAAACGAAUUCAACUGAAGGUGUUUGUACAGAGCAACCUCUCACCAGCGCUGUCUCUUCUACUCUAGUAACUAGUUUCGCGUGGCUCAAGUGUGGUAAUUUUUUUUAAUAAAGAGAAAAGUUUUGAGAGAAUAACUGACAUGGUCAGAGGGCUAUAAUCUUUCUUUUUUUUAUUUUUUUUGAGACAGGGUUUCUCUGUGUAGCUCUGGCUGUCUUGGAUCUCACUCUGUAGACCAGGCUGGUCUCGAACUCACAGUCACAGAGAUCCGCCUGCCUCUGCCUCCCGAGUGCUGGGAUUAGAGGUGUGUGCCACCUCCGCCCGGCUGUAGUGUACUCUCUCUUUUGAUGUUUGUCAGGUUUCUUCCAUCAGUCUUGUCUGUAAGUCCACCUUGUAUGUACACCGCAGAGCUCUUGACUAGGGAAUUAGAAGCAUGGCAUAUUGUAAUCCUUCCUGAAGGCUGCUGAUUAAUAAGACGGUUGGAUACAUCUACAGAGUAUUCAUUAACACGUGCAAAACUAAUGGGCUCUGCUGCUGGUGCGUGCUUUCCUGAUGUUCUUGUCUUGACCUUGGCCCUCAACAGGUAGAUUUGUGCAGACAAUAUCAGGAGGUAAUCUCUCUUUCCCUUGAAUGCUUUUAGACUAGAGUGAGAAUAAGAGGCAAUAGAGCCUUCGCCCUUGAGGGCCUGUUUUCCUAGUACUGUAAUUUAUAAUAACCCAGCUGAGAAUUGAGGAGGAAAGAAUAGGGCGUCUGCUAAAACAGCUGUCUUAAGUCCCAGCUUCUCCCUGCUCAUUUGCUCCUGGUUGAGACAACCCAAGAAGCCUUCCCAGCGUCAGUCAUUAGCAGGGAUGCAACAGUAGGCAGCCAGAGAGCAGAAGUGGCUGUCUGAACUGGACUCAAGGGCUUAGGAGACUGUCUGAAACAAACAGAACCCUGGAAGCCAGAUGUUCACUGUGAAUUGCUGCUCAUUAUAGUGAUGCUGCUGCUUUACUUUGACUUUGUAAAGAUUCCUAAUUACAGUAGGACACCAUCCAAAAGUAUUUCCACUGGGUGUGGCCAUCUUUCAGUUUUGUUGUUUAAAAAGUAAGAAGUAGGUAGGUGUGUGUGUGUAUGUAUUCGUUCAAGAACACAACACAAUGAUCUGGGUACCACAAGAGAAAAACACAGUUCGAAACCUGCUUAACCCACUGUGUGCUCAUUUUUCUGUUUGUUUAUUAUGAUUCUUGGGAGUUGAAACUAGGGCCCCAGUGUGUAGGUAAGCACUCCACCACUGAACUGGAUCCCCAGCCAUCCUUUUUUGGUGAGGAGAUGGAUUCAUGCAUUUAGUUAGAACAAAUAGUCCAGCCACACAAUAAAUAAACUUGGUGGUCAUAGGCAUCUAUCACUUCUCAGAAACAACUGUGCAUUUAAAGUGAAGAUAUUAGGGUUUCUUCACAUACACACCCAUAGCCCACUCCUAGUUGAUUGAGUAGUGUAUUCUAAUGAAUAGCCUGUUAGUUACAAGUAUGUUAAGACUGUAUAAGACAAAAAGAAUGUGAGAUAAUCUGUUCUCUGAGAAUAGUGGCACUGCACAGUUAAGAGAGGCUGGUACCCUUCAGGUACUUCUAGCCUGGCCCUCUUUUUCACUUGCUGUUUGGAGACAAGGUCUCACUAAAUUGCCCAGGCUGGCCUUAAACUGACUUUCUUACCCAAGCAGAUCUUGAAUUUGGAAUCCUGCCUUAGCCUCUAAAGUAGCUGGGAUUUCAGACCUGUGCCACCAGCCCUAGCUGCUCUCUGAGGAAAGGUUUACAAUCUAUUACCCAGAAAUUUGGAAGCUGGAUAAGUUUUAGAAUUCAGAACUUUUCAGAUGUCUUGAAAGAGCAUGAUGAAUGUAUUCAUGCCAUAUGUUUUUUGACAGCCCAGCAGGGCCUGAAGUAAUGUUCCCAUAGCCAAACGUAACAUUCCUUUAAAUUUUUUUAAUGUAUGUGUUUAUUGGGAGGGAUGUGUCUAUGUAGAAGCCAGAGGUGGAGGUCAGCUGUCUUGCUCAUCUGCUCUCCAGCCUAGUUUUUGAAACAGUCUGUCACUGAACCUAGAGCUUGCCAAUUUGGCUAACCUGGCUGGUAAGCCAGUGGGACCCUACUAUCCCCACCUCCCAAUAUUGGGGUCACAGGUGUCCACUACCAUACCCAGCUUUUGUAGGUGCUGGGGAUCAGCUCAGAUCCUCUUGUUUGAAUGGUAAGUGCUUUACCAAUGGAACCAUCUCUCCUGCCCCUCCUUUUCUGGUUUUCUUCCUUUUUUUAAAACGGGUUGCAUUGUGUUUUUGUUUAUGUCUCCGAACGAUAUAUAUGCAGUACCUUCUGAGGCCAGAAGAGGGCAUCAGACCCUCUGGAAUCGAAGUGACUGGUGGAGUUGCUGUUGGGUUCUGAGAUAGGUGUAUGGGUGCUGAUAGGUGCUGGGAACCAAACCUGGGUCCUCUGGAAGGCUGGCCAGCGCUCUUAGUGGCUGAGCCAUCACUUCAGUACCCCCACUGAAUCUUUGAUUCUAUUUGAUACUUUUAGGGCUACAGAAAAACAAAACAGCAACAGAAUAUCAGCACAUGGGUGAGGCAUUGGACAGACUGCUUUGACAGCUAAGUCUUAGGUCAGUUAAGACAGGUUUGGGUUUUUUUGUUUUUUGUUUUUUGUUUUUUUUUAAUUUGGGUAAUAAGUUUGGCAACAAAUUUGGGGGGUACCUUAGUUUUAAGGACUUUUCAAGUAUUGCAAAUAAAGAAUUAUGGACUGAAUUAUAUUUUUAUUAGUAUGUAUGAGAAAUUGUUCAAGCAGAUCACACUUGUGGCAGUCAGAGGGCAAUGUUUAGGAGUCUGUUCUCUUGUUCCAUCGUAGGAUCCAGAGAUUGAGAUUCAUGACAUCAGGAAUGCAUAGCAAGCAUUUUUACACACACAUCACCACCACCAACAACAACAACAACAAACUGAAAAUCAAACACUAAAAUCUACAAGAAAUGGGUUGCUCUUGUUACUCCUCUUUGGCAGUGCUGAGGAUUCUAGUCAGGGCCUCCAUAUAGUAUGAAAAGACUGACUCACCACCAAACUGUAUCUCCAGUCCACAGGUCAGACAAUUUGGUUAGAGCAUAAACAGUCUGCUUUGUCAAGCCCUUCAUGUUAUGCCACAAGACCUAAUGUUUUACUAGUCUGGUUCUGGGACAAGGUAGACAAGAGCAACUCACAUCGUUCUAAGAACUGGAACUCCUGAUCAUCUUACUACACCUCCCUAGUCCCAGGAUUCAGGCAAAACACCAUACCCAGUUUUAUCCAGUGUGUCCAGGCGUUCUACCCCAUUAGGUUUGUUUAAGUAUGAGAAUGAGGGGAAGAUUCUUUAGGCCAGCAGUCCCUUAGGCAUUUCUAGGGCUGUGUCUACAUACAUCUCUAGGGCUGCAAAUUGACAUUCUCUAGUACGUUUGUCUGGUAUUUUCAGAUCAAUAAGGCUUUCUUUUGAGUUAGAUGUGGUACACACCUGUAAAUUCCAGGCAGAGGCAGGAAGAGUGCCACAGGUUUGAUUCUAGCCCAGGCUACAUACUGAGACCCUGCCAACUGUCCCUCCCUAAAACAACAAAAAUUUUUUUUGAAACUUCUUAAUUUCAAUACUUUUAAGCUUGCUGAAAGUGAGUAGCUGAUUUUUUUUUUCUUUUAGAAUGAAAUAUUGAUUGACUCCUUAACACUCAGAAACUGUGUUCACACAGGGUCUCAUGUAGUUCAGGCUGGCCUUGAAUUUGCUAUUAUCAAGGAUGACCUUGAAUCCCUGAUCCUCUGGCCUCCUUCCACCUCACAAUCCUGGGGUUGGAGGCAUGUACCACCAAACCCCACUGACAAAUUUGUUAGCGUCUCAGUUUAACAAGGUAUUCAACAUAACCAGUGGCUCCCUUUCUGAGGGACACAGUCCAGGCUCCUCAAAGAAAAAGAUACCCUCAAACAACGACACUGUCUGACCCUCUGAAUCCCCUAGGAUUUGUGUCGUGAGUGGCCUUGACCUGAACCCCUCAGUGUUUCCAGACAUGCUGGUGCAGAGUGGGCCUGGGCCCUGUGCCACCAGGUCAGGCUCUGUGGUGAUUUCAGAGGCUUGGCUUAUCUCAGAAAAAGCAUGGCUAACUCUUUAACUGCUAGACAUUUUCACCCUAUACAUUUCCCCAGAGGCUGGUUUUAGAAUGUAAGAUCACUAAAUAAAAUAUUUUGAUUUUUUUCUUUGUUAACUCUUGAGUAUAGUUACCAAACAUUUAAUGGGUAAUUUUCAUCCCGUGACUUGCCAUUAAAGGGCAGGCAGAGGGAGGUACACAGGGCAGUGUGCUCUGCUUGUAUCCCAGUCGCCUGGACUAGAUGCGACUGUCCUUUGCUUACCUCUUCUUCGUACCCUCAUCUCCACUCUAACCCAGUUAGUUACACACUUCUUUCUGCCCCCUCAGUCUGUAGGGACCUGCUACCUCCAGUGUUUUCUCUUUGGAGAUAGAAAAUCCAGAACUGAUUAAAUGGGUUUCUCCUUUUUUUUUUUUUAAAUUUGGAUAUGUAUGACAGAUUUUAAUUUAACUAGGUGUUACAUUUUACUUAAAGCUUUUAGACCAAGGUUUAUUGAGGUAAUUUUCAAACACAUCCUUUUUGGCAAAACCACUCAACAACAGAACAAGACUUUGGGCUAGGAGUAUGGCUCAGAGAGUGAGGCACUUGGGUGCAAGCAUGAGGGUGGGAGCUAAGAACCCCAGCACCUGCAGAGCGGCAGGGGGGUGUGCCGGGCCUGGGGUCUCUGCAGUGCCCUGGCUUGUUCACCUCUUGAAGGAAUUCAGAGCUCUAAGUUCAUGUGACACCUUGCCUGAGCAAAAAAUCGGAGAGCCGCUGAGGAAGACACCAGCAGUGACCUUUGGUGCUGGAGCUUCUCCCCACACACGGCAUGUAGACACAGAAAAACUUGAUGAGAAACUGAAGUUUUAUUCAUGGUAACAGUAAACUCUUCCCUUCUAAAGGACUGGCCCCCCAAAUACAAGUUUAUUUCUACCUUCCUUUGAAAAAUAGCAGAUCGGGAGGAUCAGGAGUUCAAGGCCAGCCUGGGUUAGCUGAUACACUGUCUCAAAAAAUUAACUUUGGGGCUGGAGAGAUGGCUCCAUGGUUAAGAACACUGGUUAAUCUUAUAGAGGACCAGGGUCCAAUUCCAAGCUCUUCUUUGACAGCUCACAACUGCAACUCUAGACCCAAGGGAUCCAUCACCCUAUUCUGGUCUCUCUCCAUGGCCACUGAUGCACAUGGUACACAGACAUACAUGUAAAACCCAUACACCCUCCCCCCACCAAAAGAAAGAAUAGAUUGGUUAGAGGAGAAAGUACUAGUUGGAAAUAACCCUUAAAUUCCUUUAUUUAAAUAACUAUUCACUUUAGAUGGAAAAACUUUAUAUAAAUAAGAUUUAGCUAUAUAAUGUGUAUUUGUAUGUAUAAACAAAGGCUUUUUGUUGUUGUUGUUUUUCAAGAUAGGGUUUCUCUGUGCAUCCCUGGCUGUCCUGGAACUCAACUUUGUAGACCAGACUAGCCUUGCCUACUUCUGCCUCCUUAGUGCUGAGAUUAAAGACAUGCACCACCACACUUGGCUAAACAAAGGCUUUUUAAAAAAGAAGACGGGCUGGGAAGCGUGGUGCACGCCUUUAAUCCCAGUACUCAGGAGGCAGAGCCAGGCAGAUUUCUGUGAAUUCGAGGCCAGCCUGGUCUACAGAGCGAGAUCCAGGACAGGCACCAAAGCUACACAGAGAAACCCUGUCUCAAAAAGCAAAAAAAACAAAAAACAAAACAAAACAAAAAAAAAACAGGGCUUUGCUACGUAGACCACGCUGGCCUUAUACAUGCAGCAAUGCUCUUGCCUCAGCAGUUCUUGAGUAUGCACCACCAUUCCUUUAAAAUGAGUAUUUACAGUGCAUAUUAAACAACUUUUUGCACAAGCAAUACUAGACAGCAAGUGUUUUAAGUAAGUUGUAUUACUUAAGAGAAAAGACCAUGAAGACAAAAGAAUCCAACACAUGUUAAAUUAAAGGACGUUUUAUUUACUGACAGAUUAAAAAACCAUAACUCCUGGCAGUGCAAAAUGCACUAGUGAACCCAUGACAGAGAACUGGUGUUAAUACACAAUGUUUAAGCAAUGCUACACGGGUUUUUGGCAAAGUGCUGUGCUGUUCAUUCCGUAUAAAACUGACCAUCUGUGACCCAAUCAGUAUAAAAAAUGUAUAAAAACAGAAAACCAAUUCGAUAGUGGCUCAGGAAAACAAGCUGCCAUUUAUGCAUAGAUUGAUGUACAGUUUAUAUACCCUAACCACAAUGUCCCUUACGUUUUCAAGUUGAUGAGAGAAACAGCUGUGCCCAUAAACACAUUACAGAGGCACACAGUACAACCGACAAUACUUUUUCUCAUAACCUGCCUUCAGAAGGCAGAUGUGUUCACAAUUUUACUAGAGGAAAGAAAUAAAGCCACUUCUUAAAAAUAACACACACAAUUACUGACUAAAGUUCAAAGCUUCUGGAGGAAAACAAAACCACACACACACACACCCAAGGCCCCCAAAUACACACCUAACCUCACUAAGCACUGGUUUUUACAAGUUCACCUAGAAAACAAUACUAAAACAGGAAAGUACAGAGCCAAACUCAUUUAGCAGAGACAUUUUUCAAUAUCACAAGAAAACUUAUCAAUGAUACACAGAACAUCCACGUUGCCUUCCUCUGAAUAGUGACUUCUCUUCCACAUAAAGGAUACUGUUGCCAGUGAGAGAAGACACUUCCUGGUGUCUCUCUGCACCUAAGCUGCUUGAAUUGGUGUCACAUUUCAAGAGAAACUGGCCUAUGACAAAGUGGACAACACUGUCAUAUGUAUAGAUUUGUUAAAUAGACAAGCAUUCGUGUCAAAUUUCAACAUUAGAAUAGGUAGAGUUGCCAUUUAUAAUGCAUCAGAGGCCGAUUCUAACUUUAAAGAAUUUAAAACAAAUAGUAUCUAUAAGCCUUAUAAAAUAAAAAGAUAACUUCAAGGCAACAAUAGAAACAUAGUAGUAUCUCAGUACAAGGAGCAGUCUCUUCAUUGUCUCUAAAAUAGAAAGAAAAAGGUAGAAACUUUCCCCACUAAUCAAUCUACUUAAAUGGGUCUUCUAGUUGUAGUCCUUCAUUCUUAGUUUUUUCCAACUCAAAAGAGAGAGAGAGAGUAGAGAUGAUAGUCUCCCUCGCUUUUCUGUUUGUCUUAAGAAUAUACAAAGACUGUAUGCUUCUGUGAGGACAGCAAAACAGCAAAGCAUCCAGAUUUCAACGGAAGUGAAGACUAAUAGCCAGUGUACAGAUCUGAGAAGCAAAAACAACAGGCAGGCUUAUGAGCCCUGGCAAGUUUUAAGUAAACACUCUUCUCACUAGAACCAAAGAACGGAUAAGACAGGGACAAUCUGCAUGGCAACUGGAAAAAUAUACACAAAGUUAAUGAGUUUGGGAUUUUUUUUUUUAACUUCCUGCAAUGGGAAGUAAAAAUCCAAUCUCCUUGCAUCUCUGCACCUACUCAACCAUACAAAUACAAAUAGCCGCAAGAUAAAUAUGGCAAGCUAAGCAUCUACAUACAGGGCAGAAUAUAACUCAGGAAAUAGUAAUUAACGGACUACACACUCUAAAAUGUUUAACACAAAACACAAACUUUGAGGAAUGUGGAGGUCCACUGUAAAAGCUAAAAAACAUACUCCAGAUGUAUGGCAGAUACACACCAUGUAUUCUAGACUUUCCAAGCAACAUUCUAGGCUAUCAGUUUGGAAAUGGCCAGAGCUCCUAAACUCAGGAGUCUCACUCUGUUUUGUUUGCAGUGCUGGGGAUGGCACUCAGGACCUUGCACACACUAGGCAAGUGCUCCCCACUAAGCUACAUCCCCACCCUUGGGGUCUUUCUUCUUACUGCCUGUACUUUCAGUGAAGUACACUGUAAACCACUAGUCGUUACAACAGCAAAAUGAUGAUAAUCAGUGAGUAAUCAACUCAGAAAAUGCAUUUUGGCCAUGUUUCAAAAAACAUUUUGUUGUUUUUUGGUUUUUCGAGACAGGGUUUCUCUGUGUAGCUUUGUAGCCUGUCCUGGAACUCACUCUGUAAACCAGGCUGGCCUUGAACUCACAGAGAUCCGCCUGCCUCUGCCUCCCCAGUGCUGGGAUUAAAGGUGUGCACCACCACCGCCCGGCCAAAAAACAUUUAACAGGUUAACAUUGUUCUUUGUUAUUAGGCUUGUGUCUUACACACAGUAGUUGCCUAACAGAACAUGUAAUGACCAAGAAUUACAAUUUUUCUUCAAUUCUUACAUGUGCCAAUUUUAGACAUAACUUUAGAUUCUCACACAGGAACCACAGUGUGCUACCUACUAUAGGUGAUGUGGUUGGUAAUCUUAACCCUGAAGAAAAAAAAAAAAUCCCAGUAAUUUACGUUUGCUGGUUAU